UGCCGUGCCUGCGUAUCGCUUCGUGGACGCCGUUCGUCUCCUAAUAUCGUCCACACUACCGCCGCUCCCUUUGCCAUUUUGCGUCAGGGCUGGGAAGGUGGUGGUGACUGCACCACGGGAAAGGAUCCCACGACGCUGAGGUUGAAGUGGCUGCGGGUUUCACCACAGACACGCUGCGGCCUGCAAUCACUCUUGCGUGCAUGUGUUUGUGUGUGUGCUGGACUCAAGUGCGGGUGUGCUCGCUCAUGUGAUCGGCGAGGCGUCGCGUCGUGUGCGGAGCUCUUGACGGAGUAGCGACUUGACCAGCGUGUGCUUCAGACCCACCUCCCUCUUUCUAUCUCUCAUAGACGCACUGUCGCCCCGUGUUCCCUCCCUCUCCGCCCUUCAGCUCACCGCAUCCAUCCACAGAGAGAGAAGUGCUGCGGAGGUGCACCGGAGGCCUUUGCGAGGACCACACACCCCAAAGUGCAGAGACGACUUUCGUUCCUCCCGGCGGCGCGCUCCGUGUGCGCCUGCCGUAGACAUCUCUUCCGCCUACCAUGAGCACCCUACUGGAGAUCUACCGGCACAGCUUUCCCAAGCGGCUGCGCUUCGACAAGGCGAGCCAGGUGCUUUACGCCCAGUGCUACUCGAUCAACCGACGGUACAAGAACAAAAAAUACAUUCCGCAGAAGGAUAUACAUGACGUAUUGAACAGCUACGCCCCCAUGCCAGGCGCACCAUGGCUGCAGCUACCGAUUGUGCGCCACGUCUUGCUGAUCCGCCUCAUCAACAGCAUCCGUGGGCUGAAAGGCGGAAAGUCGUGGCUGUACAACCGUAACGUGGAGGAGGAGCACCGCAAGAUCGUGGAGUGGCUCGGCAAGGAAGCGAAGGCGUUCCCCAACCGCCACCACACCGUUGCUGCCCGCGCGUCGACCUCAGCGAGGCAAGGAAGCGCUGCCGCACACGCCGCGCUGGAGGCCACGGUGGAGCGCGAGCGGUUUGAAAGGGAGGUCCUGCGCAACUUUCAUGUGGCUACUAUGUACCAGCGCAUGGUGCGCCUCGGCUUCAUGCUGGUUGCGGCGCUGUGCUGCAUUGUGUACGCCUCUCUUCACACGGACAACCUCGUGUACUUGUACCUCUGCUACUGGCGGCGCUACAACCGGCGCGAGAUUAUGGAGUACUUCCGGGAUAUAACCCUGCUACACACCGUGGCGGAGGUGCCGCCGGCGUACGCUAGCCUCCUGCCACCACCAUGCGUGCGGUACAAUGACGCUGCAGGGGACGCCUGCUACGCGGUGAACAUGGUUGAGAUGGUACUGCCGCAGCACAACGUCGCCGUCAUUGCCAUUCCAUGCCCGCAGGCUGGGGAGAAGUCGUUCUUCGCUCAAGUCGGGUCCGUCGCGGAGGUCUGCGACGGCAUAAUCGUAGAGGGCGUCACCUUCGACAAGAUCGACAAACUCGUACCAGCAGCCUUCUUCCCGCUCAAGACCAACACGUUCCCUGCCCUUGGACUGCACCAUCGCUUCCUCGACAUAUUGCGCAACAGCUCUGCAGAACCACCGAUGCUGUACCCGGCUGGUGCUGAUGUGGGGUGGGGAGCCGCCAUCAUGCAAGCACUCCUCCCGUAUGAGCUCCGCUGCGUCUACAACCCUACAAAGUUGUCGGCGACGAAGGGCGAGGCACGUAUUGGCUGGGGCCAUGUGCGGCAGGUGCUGGAGGAGAUGAUGGAGGACGAGGCGGCGCAAGCGAGUGGUGAGAAGCGCGUUCUGUGCCUACCGUGGACUCUGAACCAAAUUGUCAACAUCGAGGCUAGUCUCGUGAAGUAUGGCUUCAAGGUACGCAACGUGUACCGGCUGCACUGGCAGCGAGAGGACCACAUGGGCGAGCACUUCUGCGACUACUUCUCUAUCGCUGAGUCAUGAGUGCCACGCCGCUGAUGUACUUGUUGGGUGCCGACCGCGACUUUGCUCAUGCCCACAUAUUCUUCGCACCGUGCAUCAAAAACGUCCACCGUCGCUCUGCACGAUCGUGGCCUGAGGCACCGCUCUCCAUUGCGGUGCUUGCGUGCCGACAGACGAGGGGACGAAGGGCGGCACCCGUAGCGGUGUGCACCCGUGUCUUCCAAGGUGCAAAGUUGAGGAAUGACAGUGGCGCUGCUGCUGCUGCUGCUGUGCGUCUGUGUGCAAACGUUUGCGUAUGCGUGUUAGCGCUUGUGUGGCCGUUGCUGCCGUGUCGCUCACGUUCACCUUUCCGUUGUCCGCUUUCGCUCUAACAGUGACCACCAUCUCGCCGCCCCAUCCCUCUUUGCCGCCUUGAGUAAAGCGAGCAGAGGGAGGGGGCGGCGAGGUGGUGGACAAUGAGUUGUACAGAUAGCACACCGCCGCCCCUUUCCACACAGAUAUCACUGAUGCUCCUUCUCCAGCCACGCAUGUGCACCUAAAAGCACGCGCUUGGCGACCAUGCCACCGCCCACCUUUUCACUCCUCUUCCCAUUACUGCCGCCGCUCACUGCAGUGCUUCCAGAGGACCCCCCCUCUGCUGAUACACCCUUCGUGUUGCUUGCCGUCCAUCGUUACCUUCUUUUUCCUGUCUCUCUUUGGCCCGCGCCGAUUGCUCAG
rnacentral:misc_RNA from 1 species